rnacentral:lncRNA from 1 species
ACUUUCUUCUAGGGGUUGCUUCCCAGGUCCUCUUAAUUUGUUUUGAGAAGUUAGAGUUGCCUGUAAUCGUUGGGUAAACCAACAGUCUUGAACGGACAACAGUGACAACCGCCUAAUUAGAAGGAAAACAAAACUCUCUCUCGUGUCUCCAUGUUAACACGACUGGAAAUUGAACGUAGGGGGAUCUAGCAUGUGAUUACUCUUUUUAGACAGGAUUUUCUUCAUAGCUGAAUUGGACCGAGUCCUUUUUCUCCCAAACCAGAUGUCAUCAUUUCGAAAAUGUCGGAGGAACCACGGCUGAGUGUUCUCCUGCUCCCACCUGUGCUUUGGGAUGUGAAAGAAUAACAUUAGCACAUAGAGGCCUCCACUUCCUCUUGGCUGCAUCUGGACCAUUUUAUUAGGCAAUCCACUGAGCCUGUGAUCAGUCUGAGAGCAGCUGAUGAUGAGCAGUGCCAGGAUACAGUACUGGGCUGCUGAUCAAUUUUGCAUCUUUCAGGAGACUUGAAAAAUUAGAUUAAUGAAGCAUCACUC